CUGUGUGUGUGACUGUGUGAAAAAGGUGGGUUUGCAUAAGCGAGAGUGUGAGCUGUAUGUUUGAAGCUGUGACAGGCUGAGUUUUAAGAAUCAUUACAUUUACAUGCAGCUUCAACUGAACCAGAAAACGGGAUAGGUUUGGAGAAAUGGAGCCAACUAGUUACUCGUGUGGAUGUGAAUAAUUUGGAAUAAGAAUAAAACUGCCGUUAACAGUGAGGCUGCAUGUAAGUGUAAUUGAUGUUUGUUUGUUUUUUCUGUGUUUUCAUGUGCAGACUCGUCUUGUGUUUUUGUUGGCGGUCUACGAUGUCUGAAAUAUCAGUAUGGCUGUUUACAGUUGUCAGGGAUGUGUUUUUGUUUUUCCUUUACCAUCUCCAUCGUCAAGUUUGUGGACAUAAAUCUAAUUUCUUAUGACAAAUUUCCACUUUUCUGUUCUUUAUCUGUGUUCUUUAUCUGAUCACGUCCCUGACAGUCAUUCCAUGAUCUCUUUUGUGACCCAAAUAACAGCAAAGCUUACGCAUUUAUAGCUGAAUCUAUCAAGACUUGGUAGGGAUGUGUUUUGAAAGAUGUAACAUUAAAAAAAAGCCACCUGGCUAUUGUCAAAUAUUAGAUGUCAUCCCAGACUUUUGCCUGGAAUUGGCACCCAAAUCUCUAAACCCCUUAAAGAAAAACUAGCCUUUAUUACAACUUCAUUCAACUUUUUGUAGUUCCAGCCAUAUGUUCUAUUUGUUAUGACAACCGUUUUAUCAUACACAAUCCAACUGAUGACUGGAGCUAUGCAAAUUAAGACCUAAGUUGAAAUAAAAUGUAGUAAACUUGUGCAUCAGUGGCCACAAAGGAGGUUAUGAUGAAUGCCGUUGUGAAUGUUGAGUGAUUCUGUUGAUUUUGUCAUCUGGUGUUAAGACGUCUGUGUCUGCUGCUGUGUGUGUGUGUGUGUGUGUGGG